GGCCUGGCGCGACUCUCAGUCGUUCCGCUGCCUUCGCUGGAGAGUGAAACGCUGCGUCAUGCACUAAAUAAUUUGCUCCGUUAGUUGACGGAGAGAUGCGCGCAGGGUGACGAGCUCCUCGCCGAGACUUGUUGUGAUCGUCUCAAACAAUUUUACUCCCGAGGAACACAGUUCAGGUUUAAAACUCCGUUGGUUGUUAUGUUCGCUAUUGGGAGUUUUGCAACGGUUGGUUUGGUACGCCAGGUGUGGCUCAGUAAAUUAGGAAUGUUGUGUCAACAUGGUCCUCGGACACAAGUGGUGUUGGAGUGGGUGGAUGCUUAUGCAGGACUGACUUCAUCUGGACUGUCUGCUCGCAACACAGUUUUUAUCCUGAUCUCUGUCCCCAUUUUCAACAGAGGAAGAUGAGUAGGGAAGGAGCAAUAAA